rnacentral:lncRNA from 1 species
GAGCCUUCACCUCUUGAAAGGCAUGAAUCAUAUGAUGAAGGUAUUUUUAUAAGCUUUAAGAAAAGUGGAAAGUAACAAGAAUCUCUAUAGGUAAUCGGUAAAAUGAAUUAAAUUCUCUUCGGAAGCUUCUUAGAAAUAAGGUGAAAAAAUUAAAACAAAAGUUGAAAAGAAAAAGAAAUCAAUCCCAACCAAUGUAGUGAAAGAGGAAUGAAAUGGAUAAAUAGCUUUCAUACAUGCUUUCUUAUUUGUCCAUUGUUUUUGCAACAGCAUCUUUCUAAGUUAAAGACAAACUUCUCUUUAAGCUUCUUUCGUUUUGCAAUCUUUAUAUCCU